GGCGGCGUGGAUAAGACAUGCAAGUCGAACGGGAACUUUUUUGGUAGCAAUACUAGAAAAGUUCUAGUGGCGAACGGGUGCGUAACACGUGGGCAAUCUGCCGAGAAGUGGGGGAUAGCUCGCCGAAAGGCGAAUUAAUACCGCAUGUGAUCAGGGGAGACAUCUUCCCGAAAUCAAAGGUGGCGCAAGCUACCGCUUUUUGAGGAGCCCGCGGCCUAUCAGCUUGUUGGUGAGGUAACGGCUCACCAAGGCGUUGACGGGUAGCUGGUCUGAGAGGACGACCAGUCACACUGGGACUGAGACACGGCCCAGACACCUACGGGUGGCAGCAGUCGAGAAUUUUUCUCAAUGGGGGAAACCCUGAAGGAGCGACGCCGCGUGGAGGAUGAAGGCCUUCGGGUUGUAAACUCCUGUCAUUUGGGAACAAGUGCCGGUACGUAACUGCUACCGGCUUGAUAGUACCAGAAGAGGAAGAGACGGCUAACUCUGUGCCAGCAGCCGCGGUAAUACAGAGGUCUCAAGCGUUGUUCGGAUUCAUUGGGCGUAAAGGGUGCGUAGGUGGCGCGGUAAGUCGGGUGUGAAAUUUC
rnacentral:rRNA from 1 species